AUUGAACGCUGGCGGCGUGCCUAACACAUGCAAGUCGAGCGGUAACAGGUGUAGCAAUACAUGCUGACGAGCGGCGAACGGGUGAGUAAUGCUUCGGAAUCUGCCCAUGUAGUGGGGAAUAACCAGCCGAAAGGUUGGCUAAUACCGCAUACGACCCUUGCCCACAAGGCAAGGGUGAAAGCAGGGGAUCGCAAGACCUUGCGCUAUUGGAUGAGCCGAAGUCGGAUUAGCUAGUUGGUAGGGUAACGGCCUACCAAGGCGACGAUCCGUAGCUGGUCUGAGAGGACGACCAGCCACACUGGACUGAGACACGGCCCAGACUCCUACGGAGGCAGCAGUGGGAAUAUUGGACAAUGGGGCAACCCUGAUCCAGCGACGCCGCGUGUGUGAAGAAGGCCUGC
rnacentral:rRNA from 1 species